rnacentral:sRNA from 1 species
UACAUUAAGUUUGCUCACUCAAGGGAAUCUUGCUCAUCCCCUAAGAAAGGGGGUGGGAAAAUGACUGUUUACGAAUCAUUAAUGAUAAUGAUCAAUUUUGGCGGAUUGAUAUUAAAUACCGUCUUGUUGAUCUUCAAUAUAAUGAUGAUUGUAACGUCAAGCCAAAAGAAAAAAUAGACCUUCCCUUGAGUUUGGACACCUGAAGGGUUAGGCCUACGCAGAUUUGACAACGAGCAAGCCCUUUGAUGGGCAGCUUUUUGUACAAACAAUGACCAGUG